rnacentral:rRNA from 1 species
GAUGAACGCUAGCGGCAGGCUUAAUACAUGCAAGUCGAGGGGCAGCAUGAUUGUAGCAAUACAAUUGAUGGCGACCGGCAAACGGGUGCGGAACACGUACACAACCUUCCAAUAAGUGGGGAAUAGCCCAGAGAAAUUUGGAUUAAUACCCCGUAACAUAGCGAUGUGGCAUCACAUUGCUAUUAUAGCUUCGGCGCUUGUUGAUGGGUGUGCGGCUGAUUAGAUAGUUGGCGGGGUAACGGCCCACCAAGUCUACGAUCAGUAGCUGAUGUGAGAGCAUGAUCAGCCACACGGGCACUGAGACACGGGCCCGACUCCUACGGGAGGCAGCAGUAAGGAAUAUUGGACAAUGGACGCAAGUCUGAUCCAGCCAUGCCGCGUGAAGGAUUAAGGUCCUCUGGAUUGUAAAACUUCUUUUAUUAAGGGACGAAAAAGGUACUUCUAGAUCGUCUGACGGUACCUAUGAAUAAGCACGG